AGGGACACCAUCAGAGAAAACUGCAAUAUCAACUUAGAAUAGAAGGUGCUGGAAUGAGCUUACUCCACUGCAGCGAGGAAAUGAGCCUAUGAAUGAAACGCUAAGCGCAACCAAGCACCAACCUACUGCUAAUUCUGAAACAAUGAGCUAAGAGUAGAAGACUUUAAGCAAAGAAAAACUGAGCAAGAUAGAACUGUUAAUUAGAAUUAUCCCCUUCCUAUUUAAAAGCAUGUACCCUGGCGAAGAUCCCAGAGGCAACAUGAAUUUUGUGCAAUUACAUCCAAGAGCAGCUAGAUCCAAACACGUGGUGCCUUCUCAGCUUUUCUAUUGAGAGGAAGGAACAAAGAGAAGGGUUAAAUUUCAAUUCCCAGAUUUGUAGGAUAAACAAUGCAGGAACCAUCUGAUUGACUGUUCCACUUCUGGGGUCUUCUGGCAGCGGGCAUAACUUACAGUGUCCUCUGAACUCAUCAAUGGAAAACUGGCAUCUCUGCCAUCUACACUUGUGCAUCUGUUAUUCCAUUUCUUUUGAGAUCACUAACCACCAACAGGAAUCUGGAAUAAAUAUGUACCUAUGAGAAAAAGCAAGAAAAAUGACUUACCAAGUCCUGACUGUUCCUUGGAAACUUUUGCACAUGUAACUAGAGAGAAUAUUGCAAAAUGAUCAUGGCUUGCUUUAUAGAUUUCAAAAGUGAAGAAAGCUCUUGAGUCACCACCACAAAAAAGAAAAACAACCCAGGAGGAAAAGACCACCUACAACUGAUGAGGGGCCAGACACCUGCCUUUAAUUGAGUGCCUAAAGAAAACACUAUAUGGUCACCCUUUAAUUUGUAAUGAGUUCUGACUUGCUUUGACACAAGCUAUGUGAACUGCCAUGUGUGCUGCCAGUUGACGGUAAAAAGGAAAUUCUUAUGCUGGAGCAUGUUAUGUGUCUGUGCAGACCUGAAGCAUGGUCCAAAAUGUGAAAAACAGAAUAAAAUCCUGCUUGACUGAACAGAAAUCACAGGAGCGUGUGGUAGAGGAUAAUGCUGGACAGCAUCUCUUACAGGUAGCUCAAGACAAGAAAUAAGAGGAGGGAGGAUUCCUGAGAGAGAAAAACACAACCCUGGAGUAAGAAGAACUGAGAGGAAACUUACCACUGAUUAACUGACUUCAAGUCAGAUAUGGAUUUAUUUCUUUUGCAGUUUAUUUUGUAAAUUCAAAAACCCUGAAAGAGUGUAAACUUUGAUUUGAUAUAAGGAUAUUUAAACCAGACAGUGAUGUUACUUUAUCAUAAUUCACACUUAUGACCUUGUGUUAAAUUGCUUUGGUCUUACUUAGGAAACAAUUAAUGUCAUUGUACAUUUUGCCUUACAUAAUAAGAGUUUUGUCUAAGUACCAUAAUGACAUUUCUGGUCUGAAGUUGCUUUUCUUUUAAGCCAGAAUCCAUCAGAUCAUACUAGCAUAAGGUCAGGUUGAGGAACAACAGUAGCUUUACUUCUGUAUAAUUUUACAUCUAUAAUAGCCCCCAGAUUGACUCACUACCAUGUUGGUGUUACCGAAUUAACAAAUAAAGUCUUAAACUUUUAAUUAAAUCUGUUUGGGAAGACCCAUGGGUUUGUACAAAGUUGCAGUGGAGCUGGAGAAGUUAUUCUUGUCUUUUUAGGUGUAAAUUAAAGUGUAGCUCUUUUAAAGCUAAUGUGUGAGUUUAUUUCCAUACGAAGCAAUAUGAGCUCCAGUUUUUAGAAUGCUUUGUAUUUGCAAGUGCUCUCAUAAAGGUAAUUAGUGUGCAAGAGAUCUUCAGUGUGCUUGAUAUGAGAAACACAAACAGGUCUUUCAUCGUGCUUAUUAUACAAGAAUAAUCUUUAUAUCAAAUACCGACUGAUAAUGUUAAUUGUCAAGAUAAUGACAAGUGCCUCCCAACAAACUUCAGUAAAUCGUGCAAAGCAAUUUACUUAAAAGGGCUAUUCCAAAUCCUUUCAUUAUAUUUUGCAAAGCAACAUCAUUGCAAGUUGGAUUUUGUCAUAAGCGUACAGCACAGGAGGCCUUGAAAAGGAGGAAAUUUGGGCUUUGCAUUCUGCUAGGUGAACAUUGCUUAAUCUUUCAGAACUUCCCAGCCAUGGGCAGAAAUAUCAUUUUACAGUGUGUAUUGUAUGAGAACAAUCACAAAGUCUUUUAGAUGGAGCUCUAUGUAGCAGUGAUGCCAGACACUAUUUCCUUCUCAUCUUACGGCAUUUAAAGGUGAUGUAAAACAGGAUGUAAAUGAUCUUGAAUUUUCUGAAGAUACUAUAGGGCGAUUUUAUUUAAAGAGAAAGCAUUAUUUUAAAAACAAAGGAUAAACUCUUGAGGGUUACAAGAUUGAUUUAUUUGAAAGACUGCAGGAAAAGAAAAUUUGGUUAUCUUUCAUUUGAUCCUUUGUGUCUUUUUUAAAUAAAAUGUCGGUUUCUUCUGCUAUUACGAUAUUUGGUUGGAGACAGUUCUCUGUUUUGUUCUGCUAUCAUUUAAGAGUAAAAUUGAAUAGAAAAGAG
ensembl:lncRNA